UCGAAGAUCAUUACAUUGAAAUUUUGGAUCCGUGGCCAGGCAACUCCCCAGAUCUCAAUCCCAUAGAGAACCUGUGGUGAUUUCAGAGCCUGUUUCACAUCUACAUGUGCAACAGAGGUUGAUCAGUUUUUCCAAAUGACAAAUGUUGCCACUGACAUGGACUUCUUAGCUGUCAGCCAUGAAAAAGAUGCAUGCACUAUGCAAAUAGCCACAUCCGAAAAGAACACCAUUACUGAAGUAUGCAUGUCUGAUUUAGAUGUCCUCGCUGAGGUAUCGGAUUGUUGGAGGAAUUCAUAAAGCUAAAAGAGACAACAAAUGAGCUGAAACAGCUGAAGAGCAGAAAGGCAAGCCCUAGUCCUGGCGGUGAGCACUGCAGGAGAGUUUGUGAGUGUGACGGUGUCCAACAGCUGAGAAGAGCAGAAUUGUGUCUUCUCGCUCUUCAGUUUGUCAUGUGUCAGCAGCACUGCUGGAGACAUUUCUUCACCUCCCCACUGGGUCAAAAUCCUCU